rnacentral:rRNA from 1 species
CUCGUAGGCGGCCAACUAAGUCCGACGUGAAAUCCCCAGGCUCAACCUGGGAACUGCGUCGGAUACUGGAUGGCUUGAAUUCGGGAGAGGGAUGCAGAAUUCCAGGUGUAGCGGUGAAAUGCGUAGAUAUCUGGAGGAAUACCGGUGGCGAAGGCGGCAUCCUGGACCGACAUUGACGCUGAGGAGAGAAAGCGUAGGGGAGACGAAACG